rnacentral:rRNA from 1 species
GACGAACGCUGGCGGCGUGCUUAACACAUGCAAGUCGAACGGAAAGGCCCUGCUUUUGUGGGGUGCUCGAGUGGCGAACGGGUGAGUAACACGUGAGUAACCUGCCCUUGACUUUGGGAUAACUUCAGGAAACUGGGGCUAAUACCGGAUAGGAGCUCCUGCUGCAUGGUGGGGGUUGGAAAGUUUCGGCGGUUGGGGAUGGACUCGCGGCUUAUCAGCUUGUUGGUGGGGUAGUGGCUUACCAAGGCUUUGACGGGUAGCCGGCCUGAGAGGGUGACCGGCCACAUUGGGACUGAGCUACGGCCCAGACUCCUCCGGGAGGCAGCAGUGGGGAAUAUUGCCCAAUGGGCGGAAGCCUGAUGCAGCAACGCCGCGUGCGGGAUGACGGCCUUCGGGUUGUAAACCGCUUUCGCCUGUGACGAAGCGUGAGUGACGGUAAUGGGUAAAGAAGCACCGGCUAACUACGUG